UAGUGACGUGAAUGGAGUUAUUUUGGAUAGACACCAAUACAGGAGAGAACACAAUCUGGCGCCUUGAAUGCUGCCAACAAAAGCUCAGUUGUACUAUCCCGUGAUUUGACUGUGGCAGGCAGUCUCACUGAAGUGAUGUCUGACCUAGCUCCCACUGAAGUCAAUGUGAGCCUUUGCACUGAUUAAAAUGCUUUUCAGGAGACCCUCUCGGCAGCCGGAUCAGAUUUCGGAUCAUGGGCUCCCUCACUAACUUCGAUUGAAACUCACAUCCUCGAUGGCGUUGACCUAAAUGUCAUCUUAUCUCAAGACUGGCCCAGCUUUGGCUGGGGUUGUCGGAUCAGGCAACCUUCUGAAGGCUUCUCAGCAGAGGACUCUAAAAAGAGCAGGAACAAGAACACCUGUAAUCCAGAUGUUACAGAAAAUCUCUCAAGAACUGUGAUUUUUCAACUUUUUUCUUGAUGUGGAGAGCUCAAGACAACUUCCAAGGGAAGUGCAGAUCUGCUAAGUUGAUCUCAAACUGAAGAACAUGGACAACAGAAGGAGAACACACUGCUGGGGAAGAGAACUCUCCUCCUUUCCCCCUCAGAACUACCGAUAACCUUGCAAUUUGCUAGCAGCUGGAGGAGAGUAAGAUUUCUAAUUUCCCAGGCAUGAUGUUUUUUUUCAGAGACAGUUUCCAGCCAUCCUGAAGGAGGUGGUGAAAGUGUGAAGUCAAAAGGAUACUUUAUAGUCUGACCAUGGCAUGUGCCCACACUAGAUUAUAUCAGGAGUGCUUGACUUUGUGAGGGACUCUGGCCCCACUGAUCCUGGAAAAUGGUCUUUUAGUUCCCUAGGUCAGGUUCCUAAAAUUCUUGUGGGCUGGUAGAUGCUUUAGUAUUCAUCCUGACAGGUGUCAACAUCCUGACAGCUGUAUGUCAUUCUACCUUGACAAGGCUUUUCUUUGCCUUAAAACAAAAAAAGGAACAAACAAACAGCACCAAAAAGCUGUGAAGAUACAAGAAGCACUCAAUGGCAACUGUAGCAGCAUUAAAUUCACUGCCUCUGUUUUCCAGUGCCACAGAACUUCCCAUUCCACAGCAAGUCAAUGCUGAGAGGCCACUCAAUCCUCCCUGGUGCCUUCACAGCACAGGACACCCUCUAAUCCUUCUGACAGGCUGUUUCUGCUGCAUCCUUGGUGUGUGAAGGUGCUGAGCACCCUUCCCUGUUGAUGGCAUCAAGGGGAACAUCUCAGUUACCCAGCUUGGAGAUUGGACAGACAGAAGUAGAAGGGACACAGAUAACGCUCAAACCUCUCCCUUCCAAAAUUAACACGUUGAUUAAUUACACUGACAUUCAACUAAGAUGGGGAUGUUAGACCAGGCCUAUAAAGUACUAGACUUUUCUGGUGAAUACUUUUUUGUAUCUCUCAUCUUGUUUGGGACAAUUCCUUUCCUCAGCCUCUCAAACAAACCCAUAAGUGGGAGACUGACCUGAAGUGUUAUCCCACUCAAUGGCAAAGUAGUUUUUCAUAUUCUUCCCUAGUACUAGGGCUCUGUUUUUGAAGGCAGAGAACUUAGCUAGCCUUGCUAUGUCCCAGCAAGUACAGAAACUAUGU